UUUCUGAAGACCUUUUUUCAA
rnacentral:piRNA from 1 species